UACGUAGGGUGCAAGCGUUAAUCGGAAUUACUGGGCGUAAAGCGUGCGCAGGCGGUUUUGUAAGUCUGUCGUGAAAUCCCCGGGCUCAACCUGGGAAUUGCGAUGGAGACUGCAAGGCUAGAAUCUGGCAGAGGGGGGUAGAAUUCCACGUGUAGCAGUGAAAUGCGUAGAGAUGUGGAGGAACACCGAUGGCGAAGGCAGCCCCUGGGUCAAGAUGACGCUCAUGCACGAAAGCGUGGGGAGCAAACAGG
rnacentral:rRNA from 1 species